GGUUAAGCGACUAAGCGUACACGGUGGAUGCCCUGGCAGUCAGAGGCGAUGAAGGACGUGCUAAUCUGCGAAAAGCGUCGGUAAGGUGAUAUGAACCGUUACAGCCGGCGAUGUCCGAAUGGGGAAACCCAGUGCAAUUCGUUGCACUAUCGUUAACUGAAUACAUAGGUUAACGAGGCGAACCGGGGGAACUGAAACAUCUAAGUACCCCGAGGAAAAGAAAUCAACCGAGAUUCCCCCAGUAGCGGCGAGCGA
rnacentral:rRNA from 1 species